rnacentral:lncRNA from 1 species
CUCUCGCUCCGUGCGGGCGCAGCAACAUUAUCUAGUCUCCUGGGCGACACUAAACAUUAGCUGCAUUUAGUGCCAGUGAAUGUCUCAACCUCAGGAUCAUCCAGGUGCAGGUCAAAAGUUUACCGUCUGCUAAGAAGAGUUCGCUGUCUUGGCGUUUCUGAAGCGACUGGGUGGCAGAAGGGAGACCCUGUCUACCCAGCUGUGAGGUCACGUGGUAAAAUUACUGUCCUAGGACUUGCCAAGUGUCAGGUCAAGUUUUGAUAUUACUUAUCAACUUUCGCCUGAAGUUUGUGGACGCCGUUCUUUGAGUCAUUCGGAAAGUCUCAGCGAUGUCGUUGCCACCUUUGACCCGCCAUAACAAGGCCCGCGUGAUGGACCGCGACAGACGUGAUGAUCCCUACAGGCCCGACCUGCGGCCCCAACACCAGGUCUCAGCGCCGUUCCGCUCGAAAUCUCACUACUGCAUUGUGUACAAGAAGCUGUUGAUGCCAAGAGACGCACUGAAGCCCCGGAUGCUGUGGAGCCUGGUGUUGGAGAAGCAUCUGAAGGAAAUGUUAUACGAGCACUGCCGAGCUACCAAGAACUCCCAGAUGAAGUACACUCGCCGUGUCCUGCCUCGUCAGAUUUAUAUUUGAUGUACCGUGAGUCCCCGUGCUGUAGUCAAUCUGAGGUCCGGGUUUUUUAUUUCUUCUCUCAUUCCACAUCAAUCUCCACCCCUAAAAAAAGACACAGGAACAAAUGUAAGUCUCUGAAAGUAAGUUUGCAUCUGACUGCAUGAACCAAUACCUAUCCUCCCUCCUCCAACCCUGAUUUGCCCCAAAAUUUCUUGUCUCAAUCUUUCACGUUCCUUCUCCUCCAUCUUUUUUCGUCUAUUUAAUACUUAGAUAAUGAAAAGAGGACAAAAAAAAAAAAAAAUUCACUGACUCAAUUCCAUACCAAAAAUUAUCUCACUCUACCAAACACAGUAUAAGUAACGGAGACUCGCCACAUUAAAAAUUUUAAAUUAAUUUUAACAUGCAUGUCGAUAGCGGUGCAAAUAAUUCUCUUACCGUAAUCACAAAUAUCAACAACAACAAAAAUUAAACAAUUUUUUCAAUUAUAAA